rnacentral:rRNA from 1 species
UGCCAGCAGCCGCGGUAAUACAUAGGGGUCAAGCGUUGUCCGGAUUUAUUGGGCGUAAAGAGCUCGUAGGCGGAUUUGUAAGUUGGAGGUGAAAUCCCAGAGCUUAACUCUGGAACUGCCUUCAAAACUACAUUUCUUGAGUUUGGUAGAGGAGAGUGGAAUUCCUAGUGUAGAGGUGAAAUUCGUAGAUAUUAGGAGGAACACCAGUGGCGAAGGCGACUCUCUGGGCCAAUACUGACGCUGAGGUUCGAAAGCAUGGGUAGCGAACAGGAUUAGAUA